GAGAGGUGGGGGAGCAGAAUCGGUGGUGGGGAUGGCGAUGGCGAGCAGGAUGAGUUCUACCUGCGUUACUCGGUGGAGCACAAGGGCAAGUUUGGGCACGAUAUCCUGGAGUUUGAGUUCCGCCCCGACGGCAAUCUCCGUACGCUAAUAAUUCCUACUACAAGAACGACACCAUGAUCCACAAGGAGGUCUUCGUCUCCCUGCCGUCCUCCGCCAGUGCCGCCGCAUCAUUGCCGACAGCGAGAUUAUGGAGGUCGUGAUGAACAAUGAGCACAUCUCCUUCACCACUUCGAAGACUGGGUCCCUUGUGGACGUCCAAGGUAGCCAGGAUCCGAAGGGGUUUCGUGUCUUCUAUUACCUAGUUCAGGAUCUCAAGUGCUUUGUCGUCUCUCUGAUUUCACUGCAGUUCAAGAUCAAGCCUAUUGAAUCAUAAUCCAGCUUUAUGUUUUUGCUUGUUUCGACUUGAACUUCCUCUGGCUGUUAUAAGCAGGUAAGAUUGAUUGACCUUUUGAGGUACUCAAACAGUGGAUGAAAUUGGGAAUGCUUGACUGAUCCUAUCAUGCUUCACAUUUACUACAGUGACUUGUUAAUUGUGUUGGUUAUAUGUUUCAUAUAUGUUGUACAUUGUUUAGCAGGAAUUGCACAAUUUAUGAAGAGUCUUAUUUGCUUCUUUCAUUAAGGACGUUGCAAAGUUUUACUUUGAAAACUUGGUUGAACUUUGUGAAUUGUGAAUGAUUCCCUUUUUAUA